GACAGAGGUGCCGAGCGUUAGGCGGAAUCACUGGGCUUAAAGCGUGUGUAGGCGGAUCUGUAAGUACCUUGUGAAAUCCCACGGCUCAACCGUGGAACUGCUUGGUAUACUGCGGGUCUUGAGCCACCUAGGGGCAAGUGGAACAAACGGUGGAGCGGUGAAAUGCGUAGAUAUCGUUUGGAACGCCGAUGGUGAAAACAGGUCGCUGGGGCUGUGCUGACGCUGAGACACGAAAGCCAGGGGAGCGAACGGG
rnacentral:rRNA from 1 species